AUGCCCAUGAUCUCUUCCUGCCUCUUCCGAUCUGCUCACCCUUUGCUGUCAUCAACAAUAACCCUGAUGGUAAAUAUAAUAAUAAUAAUAAUAAUAAUAAUAAUAAUAAUAAUAAUAAUAAUAAUAAAUAAUAAUAACAUGAUUGUCUGUUUCUGUCCAUGCAGUCAGAGUUUCGGCAUGUCCAGAGGGUGGCUGUGGGGUGCCCCCUCCAGCAGGACAGGGUUUUUCUGGAGCCUGGAGGUGCUGCUGCUCUCCACGGGAGACGAGAGGAGCAGCAGGACAGCCCAGCCACUCGAUGCUCUGCAGCCACCACCAGCUGAUUUAAACAACCCAAGGCAGAGGCUCAUCCUGUCAAAGCGAGUUGGAGAAACAAAGCUGAUGUCCAGUGCUAGAACACUUCUUUAAUGGGGCUUAGCCACGUAAGCAGCCGCAGCCACUGCCAGGAGCGUGCUGCACAGAUGUUGGAGCACUGCGCCGAGGAACAAGAAGGUGCUUGGGAUGCUUCGCUCAGCCUCCCCGGGGACUGAGGUGUGGUGGGGGAGGGCUUGUCCCAUGUCAAGCUGGGUUCAAAAGCCCCUCUCAAAGCUUCUGUGGGUACGGCAGUGUGAGAUGCUCCUUAAUGCCCAGCUGCACAUCAGGUGCAUGCGGGGCUUUAAAUAGCCGGGGGCCACCACGCAGUGCUCGCAGUGAGUUCUCCCUGCUGCAGUUUCAAUUCUGUACACCAACCAGUUUCUUUUAAACCUCCUGAGUGUCUUUGACGCUCUCCUCCCCCGUGUCUCCCCACGCUCCCUCCUGCACCCUCCCAGCCAUUUGCACAUCUGGCUGCUUGCUCCCACCCUUCAGACCCUGGGGUGCAGGCAGAGGGGAAGGACCACAGGCAGCAGCAGCGCUGAGCUCAUGGACUUGUGCUUCCCACUCCAUCUUCCAGCUCAGUCCAUCACACAGUGCUUUGCAGCAUCCUACGAAGUCCAACCUUCUGCUUGCUGUGUGCCACUGCAGUUACCUUCCCCAAAUUAAGGUCCUACAGCACAUUUAGGUGAUUGCAAAAGCUACAGUAUGACAAAUCCAGCCAAGGAGUGGACCAGGGGCAGCACAGACACAGCUGUUUCCUGUGUGGGCAACGUGUUUUGCGCAAGCCAGAUCCAAACCAGGGAGUAUGUCUGAUAGCCCAGAGGGUCGGGGUACCUCACAGCUCCUUAGCCCUCCUGCAUGUGCUGACAUCAAA
rnacentral:lncRNA from 1 species